rnacentral:lncRNA from 1 species
AUGGUUUUCAGGAGUUUUCAAAAGGCAGAAAGCAAUCUGAAGUCUUUUAAACUGUGUCUUUCAAUUCCAGGCAUGUGCACAGGAGGAGGAGAAAGACGAGGAGGAGGACCGGCUGAGCGGCGCCUCCUUCCCAACCCGCAGCGCGCACUGGCUCCUCGGGGGACCCCCGGCAGAGCACCAAGACUGGAGACGAGGCGGCGACACAAGCAACAGCUGCUGCACGGGACUGGGCUCAAUUGGCUCUUGGAGGCCAGGGCCGGGGGAGGCAGGAUUGGGAAGGAGGGUCGGAGAAGUGGGGUGCAGAGGGCGGGGCAGCGAGCUGCCAGGUCCUGAGGAAGGCGCCCCAGGCGCCUAGGGAUGCCGCCGCGCCGUGGCCGCCGCCCGAUCUGACGCCGCCGGCCCCUCUCCCUGCCCGGCGGGCGCUUGCAGCCGCGGGCGCACGGGCCUCGCCUAGUUCCGCCGCUCGCUGCCUGCGCCUUCGGUGCGCCCCGCUUUGUGCUCCCCGCAGCCGGCGUGCACCUGGUGUAAGCAAAGGCGGUCAGCUGAUGGGCCGCGCGCGGAUUGGCUGCUCCGCCGUCUCCUCCCCUCCCGCCCGACCCCCUUCCCGGCCUCCACCUCCCGCCCCCGCCCCCGCCCUCGGCUCAGCCCCGUGCUGGGCACCAUCUGUAGACCGCCCAACAAAGGCGCAGCGCGGCGGGCCUCGGGUGGCCGGGACGCGCUGCGCCGCCGCGGUCUCCGCUGCAGGGAACAGCCGGCCGCCGCUUUUUGUCUAGGGGACAGCAGGCUGCGGUUGGGUAGAGAGGCGAGGCGCAUUGCCGUUUCUUAGCAAAAGACAGACCAAAAGAAAAAAAGCGUCCGUGCUAGGAGGCCAGCUAGGCACAAUGGGGCCGCAUCUUUUUGCAAGGUAGAACUCGGGCUCGGGAGCUGAGAAUCAGACACAGUUCGGCCUGGGGUUGUGAGAGCGAAGUUUCCGGGUGAAAUCCGACCCUGCGUCUUAAAAUACGGGGCGCGUCCUCGGGCUAUGUGUGCGCGCCCGGGGGCGUCCUCGGCGGAGCUGGCCCGGGCCAGUGUCCUUGCCGCGGGAAGGAGGAUUCGGACGCUUAACUCAGUGGCGAAGCCGCUUCCCAUUUGAGGAGGCUUUCCGAAAACGUUUCUGAAACUUUGAAAUUACAGCUUUCUGAUUUGUUAGGUGUAGAAGUAGUGUUUAAAUAGGCGGUGGAGGACUGACUGAGAACGCCGUC